UAAUACAUGCAAGUCGUACGGGAUUUCCCCUUUCGGGGGGGAUGAGAGUGGCGCACGGGUGCGUAACGCGUAUGCAACCUACCCCAUACAGGGGGAUAGCUCCCGGAAACGGGAAUUAAUAUCCCAUGGUACCGUUCGGUGGCAUCACCGGACGUUUAAAGCGCCGAUUUUAUCGGAGGCGGUAUGGGACGGGCAUGCGUAGGAUUAGCUAGUUGGUGCGGUAACGGCGCACCAAGGCAGUGAUCCUUAGGGGUUCUGAGAGGAAGGUCCCCCACACUGGCACUGAGAUACGGGCCAGACUCCUACGGGAGGCAGCAGUAGGGAAUAUUGGGCAAUGGUCGGAAGACUGACCCAGCCAUGCCGCGUGCAGGAAGACGGCGCUCUGCGUUGUAAACUGCUUUUAUACGGGAAGAAAAGGCCCAUGCGUGGGACAUUGCCGGUACCGUAUGAAUAAGCACCGGCUAACUCCGUGCCAGCAGCCGCGGUAAUACGGAGGGUGCAAGCGUUGUCCGGAUUUAUUGGGUUUAAAGGGUGCGUAGGCGGCCUGUUAAGUCAGCGGUGAAAGUUUCCGGCUCAACCGGGAAACUGCCGUUGAUACUGUCAGGCUUGAGUGCCGAUGGGGUACAUGGAAUUUAUGGUGUAGCGGUGAAAUGCAUAGAUACCAUAAGGAACACCGAUAGCGAAGGCAUUGUACUGAUCGGCAACUGACGCUGAGGCACGAAAGCGUGGGUAGCG
rnacentral:rRNA from 1 species